rnacentral:lncRNA from 1 species
GACUCCCUGAACUGCUAGCCCUCCCUUUUGUCUGUUUAUCUAAUUCUCAGGUAUGAGGCUUUAGUCACUUCUCUUUACAGAUAUCAAAGCUCAGCUCUUUGAAACAUCCAGCAAGACAGGCCAGAGUGUGGGUGAGUGCUGUGCUGGAGCCUCACAGCAGGAACAUGCAGGGGCACCAGAGGAAGCUGAAUAGGGCACAGAGGGCUGGGUCACUGGGAGAUCCCAGGGCUACUGGCAUUGGGCCCUCGCUGAUCAUCAUUUUUCCUGCCAGACGAGCUCUUCCAGAAAGUGGCAGAGGAUUACGUCAGUGUGGCUGCCUUCCAGGUGAUGACAGGACAAGGGCGUGGAUCUGGGCCAGAAGCCAAACCCCUACUUCUACAGCUGUUGUCAUCACUGAGUCAGCACUCACCUGGCCUGGGGGAAUUAAAGGAAUUCCCCGUAAGGGCUGGACCCAGCUCCUUUCUGGGCUUGGGUAGUCAAAUGUCUGAGCUACCCCAGGUCCUCAUGUCAGCAGAGUGGCGCCUGCCUGUGCUGGCCCAUGGAACGGAGACAGCAUUGGGCUGACUGUGGGCAUGAGGAGGGAUAAGGCUGAUUUGGACCCCAGGCUUCUGCCCUGGACAGCACUUGUGUCUGCAGAUUAUUUAAGUGGCUUUUGAUCUGUAAAUAAAAUCAGUGCACUGUGCAUC